CAGCAGCCGCGGUAAUACGAGGGGGGCAAGCGUUGUUCGGAAUUAUUGGGCGUAAAGGGUGCGUAGGCGGUUUGGCAAGUUUGGUGUGAAAUCUUUGGGCUCAACUCGAAGUCUGCAUCGAAAACUGCCGGGCUUGAGUAUGGGAGAGGUGAGUGGAAUUUCCGGUGUAGCGGUGAAAUGCGUAGAUAUCGGAAGGAACACCUGUGGCGAAAGCGGCUCACUGGACCAUAACUGACGCUGAUGCACGAAAGCUAGGGGAGCAAACAGGAUUAGAUACCCCAGUAGUCCCUGUCUCUUAUAC
rnacentral:rRNA from 1 species